AUCAAAGAGCUGCAGAAUGAGAUUAACAAGCAACAAACUAUUAUAUCACAGGCUAGCCAGGCGUUGAAUCUGUGCGCGUCUACAAUAGAAUUCAGCGGCUCCACGGAACAGGCGGAAGGGGAAAGACUACUAUUGUUAGCUACGCACCGGCGGCAGG